rnacentral:tRNA from 1 species
ACCGCGAGUGCUCCGUUGGUAGAGCAUCUGCCCGGUAAGCAGAGUGUCGCCGGUUCGAUUCCGGCUCGCAGUG